GAAAUGUCCGCCAGAGUAAACUGUUGUCGGCGGGACGGUAUCCAACCAGAAAGCCACGGCUAACUACGUGCCAGCAGCCGCGGUAAUACGUAGGUGGCAAGCGUUAUCCGGAUUUAUUGGGCGUAAAGCGAGCGCAGGCGGUUUUUUAAGUCUGAUGUGAAAGCCCUCGGCUUAACCGAGGAAGUGCAUCGGAAACUGGGAAACUUGAGUGCAGAAGAGGACAGUGGAACUCCAUGUGUAGCGGUGAAAUGCGUAGAUAUAUGGAAGAACACCAGUGGCGAAGGCGGCUGUCUGGUCUGUAACUGACGCUGAGGCUCGAAAGCAUGGGUAGCGAACAGGAUUAGAUACCCUGGUAGUCCAUGCCGUAAACGAUGAAUGCUAGGUGUUGGAGGGUUUCCGCCCUUCAGUGCCGCAGCUAACGCAUUAAGCAUUCCGCCUGGGGAGUACGACCGCAAGGUUGAAACUCAAAGGAAUUGACGGGGGCCCGCACAAGCGGUGGAGCAUGUGGUUUAAUUCGAAGCAACGCGAAGAACCUUACCAGGUCUUGACAUCUUUUGAUCACCUGAGAGAUCAGGUUUCCCCUUCGGGGGCAAAAUGACAGGUGGUGCAUGGUUGUCGUCAGCUCGUGUCGUGAGAUGUUGGGUUAAGUCCCGCAACGAGCGCAACCCUUAUGACUAGUUGCCAGCAUUUAGUUGGGCACUCUAGUAAGACUGCCGGUGACAAACCGGAGGAAGGUGGGGAUGACGUCAAAUCAUCAUGCCCCUUAUGACCUGGGCUACACACGUGCUACAAUGGAUGGUACAACGAGUUGCGAGACCGCGAGGUCAAGCUAAUCUCUUAAAGCCAUUCUCAGUUCGGACUGUAGGCUGCAACUCGCCUACACGAAGUCGGAAUCGCUAGUAAUCGCGGAUCAGCACGCCGCGGUGAAUACGUUCCCGGGCCUUGUACACACCGCCCGUCACACCAUGAGAGUUUGUAACACCCGAAGCCGGUGGCGUA
rnacentral:rRNA from 1 species